UACGUAGGGUGCAGGCGUUAAUCGGAAUUACUGGGCGUAAGCGUGCGCAGGCGGUUUCUUAAGUCAGAUGUGAAAGCCCCGGGCUUAACCUGGGAACUGCGUUUGAAACUGGGAGACUUGAGUGUGGCAGAGGGGGGUGGAAUUCCACGUGUAGCAGUGAAAUGCGUAGAUAUGUGGAGGAACACCGAUGGCGAAGGCAGCCCCCUGGGUUAACACUGACGCUCAUGCACGAAAGCGUGGGGAGCAAACAGG
rnacentral:rRNA from 1 species